rnacentral:rRNA from 1 species
GACGAACGCUGGCGGCGUGCUUAACACAUGCAAGUCGAACGGAAAGGCCCUGCUUUUGUGGGGUGCUCGAGUGGCGAACGGGUGAGUAACACGUGAGUAACCUGCCCUUGACUUUGGGAUAACUUCAGGAAACUGGGGCUAAUACCGGAUAGGAGCUCCUGCUGCAUGGUGGGGGUUGGAAAGUUUCGGCGGUUGGGGAUGGACUCGCGGCUUAUCAGCCUGUUGGUGGGGUAGUGGCUGACCAAGGCUUUGACGGGUAGCCGGCCUGAGAGGGUGACCGGCCACAUUGGGACUGAGAUACGGCCCAGACGCCUACGGGAGGCAACAGUGGGGAAUAUUGCACAAUGGGCGGGAGCCUGAUGCAGCAACGCCGCGUGCGGGAUGACGGCCUUCGGGUUGUAAACCGCUUUCGCCUGUGACGAAGCGUGAGUGACGGUAAUGGGUAAAGAAGCACCGGCUAACUACGUG